GCCGCUGCGGUGGAAUCGGUAGACACGCUGCUCUUAGGAAGCAGUGCCAAAGGCCUCUCGGUUCGAGUCCGAGCAGCGGCA
rnacentral:tRNA from 1 species